AUAUAGAAAUCUGGGUCUACCGUCAACUGCGACGGCACUCGACAGCCCGAAACAGUGUACACACUACUGUAAAAAUAAAACUCGGCAUCCCAGCACAAGCGUAAACUUAUCCUACACUAAUCUGAGUAUUCAUCGCAUACUAACAGCGACGAUAUAAAAAAACCACAGCUCCUAAAGCUAAAUCUAGUAAUUUUCAGAAAUGACAGUGUAGGAUCUAUAUGGUUUCUCCUAAGUCAUAUUCUAUAAAUUUAGAAGACCUCUUUCUCAUCCUAUGCAACCGUGCACAAGAUAUACUAACGACCCACGGCUAUGAAAGUCGUACGCAUUCCCUUGCACCCAUGCACUAGGUGCAUUUAAAAUCAUGAUCAUCUUGACCAUGUCAUAUGGGUGUGGCUAAUUCGUACCGCCACCGCCGCCAAAAUAACUGCACUUAUGCUAUAUUUAUAACUUACAUAAAAAAUUACCCAUAUUGUAGUCCGAUUAGAUUUCUACUCUAAUUAAUAUUUAAAUCUUAAAUUUUAAUUUAUCUCCAAUAUAUUUAAAUAUUAAUUAUAAUUCAAUUAAAAUUCAAUUACAAAUCUAAGUAAAUCCUAACAC
rnacentral:lncRNA from 1 species